AUGCUCUCCGUUUUGGUGGGAACUGAGACUAAGGCCAUGAGCAUGUCAUGGCUGGCUUGGGUUCUCUUACAGAUGCAGAGGCUUUUCCAGCUGGGAGAGCUCCACGCCCCGUCAGACAGGUGGCCGGCACCUGAGCUCUCACUGGCUGAGAUGGAUUGCAGAGCGGUGGCACCGUUACAGAAGUGCCUGCUUCAUUCUUUGGUGUUCCACCGCCUGGCACGUCGUGAGCGGGAACCGUGGAGGUGGACGGGAGAUCCCUGCCCUAGCAUGGCCAUCACCUCCAGGACUCCUUCUGCCCAAGCCCCGCACUUAGGGCAGGAACGGUGUAUCUGCGGGAAGGACAGCCCGAGGAUAAAGGGGAAGGUCAGCUCAGGACACCCACAGGGGAGCAGGCGCUGGGGUCGAGUCCGGUCCCGCGCGCUAUCUUUCCGGGACUACGCAAACCUGCAGGAGGACCAGCGACCCCUGGGACGCGGGACUCGCCGCCGCCCCACCACCGGGGUCUGCACCUGCCGCCUCCGCAAUUGUGCGGACGUCUAGCUGAACUACAUCUCCCAGAGGGCCGCGGGAGUCCUCGGAGCCAAUCUGAGGAGGGGUGGGCGGGCACUCUGGCACCUACGUCUCCCGAAGGGUGCCUGGAUUGACGCCCCCCCGCGGCCUAUAGCUGCUUCUCGCCGGGGCAGCUGCUGGCCCACUGCGCCGGGAGAGCGGCGGUGGCUGCUGGUGUACUCGGCCCGCUAGGGGAUGUGGAGUCAGUGCGGCUGGCGGCGGCCCGGGGCUCGCGGGCUGAGGCGCUGGGAGUGCACUGGGGACCUGGAUCCCCAGAGCCUUUCGCCCUUCAGGAACCUGCAGAUGCCGUUCACUCGUAUUUACGGCAGGUAUGUUCCGAGGGUCCACUAUGUACCACUUACUGGGUCGGGGUGAGGUUGGUCAUUGCCCCAGGGAGCUUCUCACCUGGGGAGGAGAGCGGUGGGUAAACGAUAACUUCCAGCCCGUGUAGAGCUGUGAAGGAAAAGGAUCAUUCAACCAAACACCAGCACCGCACAGCGGUCUUCUCGGUUUUCAUGCUGUCAACAGGAGCGCUAGAGUAUAGAUUCUUAAACUUCUUCGCAUCACGGUUCUCUUUGAAAAAUCUAGUGAAACGCUAUGGGCCAUAGGGGUAGUGGUAGGUUUUUUUGUUUUCAUAAAAAAGCGCAUGCUUUUUUCCUACAUCAUUUUGAGGGGAGGUUCGUGGGUUUUGGGGGGGGGUUGUUUGUUUUGUUUUGUUUUGUUGUAUUUUUGCCUUUUCUAGGGCCGCUCCCGCGGCAUAUGGAGGUUCCAGGCUAGGGGUCUAAUCAGAGCUGUAGCCGCCGGCCUCCGCCAGAGCCACAGCAACGCAGAAUCCGAGCCCCAUCUGCGACCUACACCACAGCUCACGGCAACGCGGGAUCCUUAACCCACUGAGCAAGGCCAGGGAUCGAACCGCAACCUCAUGGUUUCUAGUCGGAUUCGUUAACCACUGCGCCUGGAUGAGAAAUCCGUUUGUGGGCUUUCUGAGGUCCACCUGGAGAAAUCUAGCGGGGAGGGGAUGGGGCUCUACGCCUAGACCCCACCCCACCCCCACCCCUGGUCUCUAGAGCAGCCCCUAAUUUUUAACUGGUUUACAUCUUUACGUUUCACCUUCAAGAAAGAUUUCCUUUGAUCCAAAUGUACUGCAGGAAUCCAAAGAAAAUAAAUACCCAGGAAGGCGUUCCCGUCGUGGCUCA
ensembl:lncRNA